rnacentral:rRNA from 1 species
GACGAACGCUGGCGGCGUGCUUAACACAUGCAAGUCGAACGGAAAGGCCUGCUUUCCCUUGUGGAUUGCGGGUACUCGAGUGGCGAACGGGUGAGUAACACGUGAGUGAUCUGCCCCCAACUUGGGUAUAAGCCUGGGAAACUGGGUCUAAUUCCCGAUAGGACUGCAGGGUGGUGCCUGUGGUGGAAAACGAUUUUCUAGUGGUUGGGGAUGAGCUCGCGGCCUAUCAGCUUGUUGGUGGGGUAAUGGCCUACCAAGGCGGCGACGGGUAGCCGGCCUGGGGGGGGGGACGGGAACAGUGGGACUGAGAUACGGCCCAGACGCCUACGGGAGGCAGCAGUGGGGAAUAUUGCACAAUGAGCGGAAGCCUGAUGCAGCGACGCCGCGUGGGGGAUGACGGCCUUCGGGUUGUGAACUCCUUUCGACCGCGAGGAAGCCACCUGGUUGGAAGGGUGGUGACGGUAGUGGUAGAAGAAGCACCGGCUAACUACGUG